rnacentral:rRNA from 1 species
AGUCGAACGGUAGCACAGGGGAGCUUGCUCCCCGGGUGACGAGUGGCGGACGGGUGAGUAAUGUCUGGGGAUCUGCCCGAUGGAGGGGGAUAACUACUGGAAACGGUAGCUAAUACCGCAUAACCUCGAAAGAGCAAAGUGGGGGACCUUCGGGCCUCACACCAUCGGAUGAACCCAGAUGGGAUUAGCUAGUAGGUGGGGUAACGGCUCACCUAGGCGACGAUCCCUAGCUGGUCUGAGAGGAUGACCAGCCACACUGGAACUGAGACACGGUCCAGACUCCUACGGGAGGCAGCAGUGGGGAAUAUUGCACAAUGGGCGCAAGCCUGAUGCAGCCAUGCCGCGUGUAUGAAGAAGGCCUUCGGGUUGUAAAGUACUUUCAGCGGGGAGGAAGGGAUGAAGGUUAAUAACCUUCGUCAUUGACGUUACCCGCAGAAGAAGCACCGGCUAACUCCGUGCCAGCAGCCGCGGUAAUACGGAGGGUGCAAGCGUUAAUCGGAAUUACUGGGCGUAAAG